AAAUUCGUCUGUCCAUCUGGAAGCGGGAGUGACGUAUCCUGAUUCUCUCGACGGCGGAUACAAGGUAGCGAGCAACGAGCAGUCGUGUAUUUUGAAGGAGUUUCCACGUUAACCUCUCGACGGAACUGGAUUUCACCGCACGGGAUUCAGUAUGCUGGCCCUUAUCAAUCGGAUCUUGGACUGGUUCAAGUCCCUCUUCUGGAAGGAAGAGAUGGAACUCACUCUCGUUGGCCUGCAGUACAGUGGAAAGACUACCUUCGUGAAUGUCAUAGCGUCGGGUCAGUUUAGCGAAGAUAUGAUACCAACUGUAGGCUUUAACAUGCGCAAAAUAACCAAAGGUAAUGUCACUAUAAAAGUAUGGGACAUUGGCGGUCAACCAAGGUUUAGAUCUAUGUGGGAGAGAUAUUGUAGAGGAGUAAAUGCCAUAGUUUACAUGGUUGAUGCAGCUGAUUCAGAGAAGAUUGAGGCAAGCCGUAAUGAAUUACACAAUUUAUUGGAUAAACCACAAUUGUCUGGGAUACCAGUGUUGGUUCUGGGUAAUAAAAGGGAUCUACCUCAUGCAUUGGAUGAGAAUGGGCUCAUAGAAAGAAUGAAUCUAUCUGCGAUUCAGGACCGUGAGAUCUGUUGCUACAGUAUUUCGUGUAAAGAAAAAGACAAUAUCGAUAUCACGUUACAAUGGCUCAUAGCGCAUUCAAAAAGUGGAGUUCGUUAAUACUCUUAAAAUCUCCCAUUUGUUAGUAUCGGCGAGACUUUGAUACUGAUAACAGUAUUGGGAUCAAUUGUGAAACGAUCGCAUUGAACAAACUCUGUUCAAAACUGAAGUCAUUAUUGUAGAAAAUUACUCGAGCUUUAGCUAUCUAAGUUGAUUGGUGCGAAUAUGCCGUGGUAAAAUUUAAAAAUCAUGCUUGUAUGCCAAGAAUCUGCUCGUGUGAAUUAUAUCAUAAGGCACUCAUUUCCCGCGAGCACCUUAGUAAUAAGGAACAAUUUUUUAUAUUUUCGUUUUAGAUAAGUCCAAGAAUAUAUUCCAAUACUUAAUAUAACAAUUAAAUGUAAUUAGUAUUUCUGUAUUUUCUAUAAUUACCGCUAUUGUGUAAAGCUGAAAUAAUACCGACAUAAUCGCAGUUAAUUAUUGUGAUAUUAUAGUCUAGAUGUCGAUAAUCUGAUUUUGUCUUGUACCCUUGAGAGAUACCAAACGUUUCAUGUAUAAAUUAGAGAAAAUUGUAGCUAUUACGAAAUACACACGCGCAAAGAUAUCACUAUUAAUAUACUAUUAUAUAUAUAUAUACACCUCGAAAAACUUUAAUAACAAAUAAAAACGACGUAUUGCAAACAUCAUCUUUUUCUUCUUACUUCAAGAAUGUGAUAAUCCUGAGUCAGAUGCUAUUCUCGUGUGUUUAUGUAUAAAGAAUUGUGACGGAGCAUAUAUUUAUCAAAUAUUUCGCAAAAACAAUAGAAAAAAAACAGUUAAUGUCAGUAACGGUGUCAAUCACUAAUAAAAUUUCGACAAAUAGUUCGAAAAGUAUUAUGAGAAGUAUAAAUUCUACUAUAUAAAUGGAUCAAUUUUCUAAAAAAAUUGGAUUGCAGUAGAAUAGAUAAUUUUAUUUACUCUGUAGCGAUACGAGAAAGUGUAUAAACGCUCACAGAUUUUUUUCGCGUUAUUUAUCCUAUAAAUUGAUUUCUUUUCAUUCAUUUCUAUCUACAUAUAAAGUUUUGUAUACGCUUAAAUUUCCCUUGAUCCAAUUUUCUGUAGUUUAAAUUGCUUCUAAUAAAAUGUUUCUAAAUAACUUUGUUCGAUUGGCUGUAUAGUCAGUGACAUAAUUAUGAAAUUGUCACAGAGUUGAAUUGCUUUGUAUACCGUAUGUAUAACGUUAAAAUAUUUCGAUAUUUAUUUAUAUCGAAUUCAAAGUAUGUAGUUUUCAAACAAAUCGUUACAAUUAAAUUUUUCAAUAAUAUACUGUAUAGGGAGGGGAAGAGCUUUUCUAAGUUCAAAUUGCUGAAAUAAAAUUUCAGCGAAAUUGAACUGCGCUUAUAUGACAAUAUGAUAUUUCAUUUUCUAGUGGUGUUUGUUACAGCCAAUUUUUGUUAUAUUUAUUAACUGUACAUGACUCACUCUUUUAGAAAGUGGUCACAAUAUGUAUUAAAUUGUCAGCAAAAAAUCAAUUACAUAUUACAGCAGAAAAAAUCCUCGAGGUCUCGUCAACGAUUUGCGGAUACAUGUACAUGAUAAAGAUAAAAACGAUUAUCGUGUCUCCUAUUUUAUAAUGCAUAUGUUAUAA